CUCGGGGCUCUCUCUGGCUCUCUCUCUAGAUGUAAGGAUGCAAAAGAAGUCCAGCAAUUACCAUCUGCUGUUGAAUGUCCAUUAUCCUGUAACAUAAUUUAUUAUGUUUUAUUAUGUAUCCGUAACAAAGAAUAAACCAGAAGAAACCGUAAGUCAGAUUGCGUAUUACUACUUUUCAAUAAUAUAGACAUAUAUUAUUGUGGCGAGCAUUUGGCCCAAGACUAUAUAUACAAAAGACGUAUAUGUUUUAAGGCCGUUUG